rnacentral:rRNA from 1 species
CCCAGACUCCUACGGGAGGCAGCAGUGGGGAAUAUUGCACAAUGGGGGAAACCCUGAUGCAGCGACGCCGCGUGAGUGAAGAAGUAUUUCGGUAUGUAAAGCUCUCUCAGCAGGGAAGAAAAUGACGGUACCUGACUAAGAAGCCCCGGCUAACUACGUGCCAGCAGCCGCGGUAAUACGUAGGGGGCAAGCGUUAUCCGGAUUUACUGGGUGUAAAGGGAGCGUAGACGGCUGAGCAAGUCUGAAGUGAAAGGCGGGGGCCCAACCCCCGGACUGCUUUGGAAACUGUAUAGCUAGAGUGCAGGAGAGGUAAGUGGAAUUCCUAGUGUAGCGGUGAAAUGCGUAGAUAUUAGGAGGAACACCAGUGGCGAAGGCGGCUUACUGGACUGUAACUGACGUUGAGGCUCGAAAGCGUGGGGAGCAAACAGGAUUAGAUACCCUUGUAGCG